rnacentral:tRNA from 1 species
GCCCCCGUAAUCCAACACGGCAGAGAUAGCGGUCUCAAACACCGUCCAGUGUGGGUUCGAAUCCCACCGGGGGCA